CUUAUCCUUUAGUUUAUUCCCUUAUCUUCACAUUUCGUCGUGUCAGCUAUAGAUUCCUCUGGCUACCAAAUUCACAAUCUAAUAUGGAUGAUAGUGCCAAACAAGUAUUCGAAGAUUUCCAGCAUACAGCUGCAGCAGUCAGCAUCAGUAAGAAAUGACUCUUCAUAGUUAAAUAUUUAUCAUCUUAUUGGCCAGAAUUUUCAUCAUAUUG
rnacentral:lncRNA from 1 species